UACGGAGGGUGCAAGCGUUAUCCGGAUUUACUGGGUUUAAAGGGUGCGUAGGCGGGUUGUUAAGUCAGUGGUGAAAGAUUCGAGCUUAACUCGGAAACUGCCAUUGAUACUGAUGACCUUGAAUACAGUUGAGGUAGGCGGAAUGUGUCAUGUAGCGGUGAAAUGCUUAGAUAUGACACAGAACACCGAUUGCGAAGGCAGCUUGCUAAACUGUUAUUGACGCUGAGGCAUGAAAGCGUGGGGAUCAAACAGG
rnacentral:rRNA from 1 species